AAAAAUUAAGAAAUAAAACAAUAUAUAAUUAAAUAUUAAUGAAGAAAAAAAAUUUGUAUAAAAAUAUAGUCUAAAACAAUUUUAAUAUAUGAGUUUUUUGAAAAAUUCAACACACUAAUUAGUAUAUAUAUUUUAAUGAAAUUUUGUGUCAUAUAUAAAUUAUUUUAUGUUUGGUAAAAAAAGAAUUAUCUUAUCUAAGUGAUUGUCGUUCCCAUUCUCAUCAAUUCACUUCUAUGCAUUCCUAAAAACAGAUUUGUGGUUAGUAUAUGUUUUUUUUUUUUUUUGGUUAGUCUAUGUUUUCUUAUGCAAGUAUGUUCAAAUUUGAAUGUAUAAGCAUCUUAUUAUAUAAAGAAGAUUUUGUCUCUCUUUUUAGAGAGACACGUGGUCAAAUACUCUCUUCUCGCCAUUAGAGAGGCUGAGAUGCAGAGGCCGGCAUACCUAUUCAGUUUCCAUCCAUCCAAAACAAGACAGCUUCCCAUUAAACACGUCCUCAACUACCUUAGCCACGAAUUUGAAUGUGUGUGAAUCUUCUUACAGACGGUGUUUGUAUGCUUUUCUCCUCUCUAAAGAUGGUUUUUUCUCUCUCUCCUUGGAGGAUUUCUCUGAGAUUCUGAGUUCUUAGUGUUGUUGUUCAGAAUUGUAACUGUUUAUGUAUCUGACGGGAGCAUUCGGAGCUAGAUACGGUGGUGUUGGCCGUUCCAGGAAUCAAUAGGUCUUGAAUCGUCAUGGAAUCGGUUUAGAUAUCCCACCGCAGCAGUAAAUCGGAAACAUCUCCGGUGAGACAGAUUCAUCUCAGUGUUUGGUUUCUGAUCAUAGCCCGUGAACUAGCCAUAACAAUCGGUCUCGCAAGAGAAAAGAACUCGACAAGAAGGUGAGACACAAGAGAUGUUUUGGUGACAUUUUAUCAAGCCAGUGAUUGAUGAAUCCUUGAGACAUGUCCUUAUAGGACAAAAGCUCGGAAGAAAAAGAGAGGCUUUUCAUAUCUUCAUGUUAGAGCUCGCCGUGGUAAAGCAACAAAUAGCUUAGCAGAACGAGCAAGAAGGGAGAAGCUUAAUGCACAUAUGAAGCUGCUACAGGAACUGGUCCCAGGCUUAGAUAGAGUGCUUGGGAUCAAUAUGCUAAUUAAUCUUUAGGUCUUCGUUUGAUGAUAUAGUUUCUUUUUGUUAACUAAUCAACUCAAAAAGUGGAUUGCUUAAUUGCUUUUUAUGAAAAAGAGUGGUUUCUGGUGUGCCGAAGUGGCCUUGAAGAUCUUGACUUUAUUAUUUAUGAAUUGGGACAAGUAUCCACUACCCUCACACGAAAAAUUCUGGCUUGAAACCAGAAUGCAGCUUUCGUCAAGAAGAUAGGAAUAAAAGUUCUGGACAAAUUAAUCCUUUCGCAUAUGUAAAAUAAACCUAGCAAUGGCUAAGUAGAGCGGUUGUGGUUUCCGCAUAUGCCUCCAAAGGUGAUGAAGCAGACGAUGCAGAAGAAGAGAACAAUGAUUUCUUCUAUUAUUCCGAAAGUGGCCACCUAUAUUAUGUAAUUAAAAUUUUGUUUUUCUUAUUUGUACUUUCGGGCCUCUGUUUCUAUAUCGGAUGGAAAACUCUUUUAUGAGAUUCAGUGAGUUUAGAGACUUUGAUGACACUUCUGGAUUGUUGGAAGGUCUCAACUUCUCGAGACUCUCACUUAUCACUCAACAUCAUUAAUUACGGAUGGGGCUAAUGUGUAAUUCUCUUUUUUGUUUUUUUGCUACAACUAACGUGUAAUUUUCGAUCUCCCAAAUCUUCCUAUGCUUAUAUGAAGGAAACAUAAGAAACUAGAAAAUCAUGGAAACUGGUAUGCAUUUUUUGUUAUAGUCUACUCAUUAAUUUUAGACAAAUUAAUUGUUGUCUAAAAUUUUCAUCAAGACCAUCCAUGAAAAACACUCCAUGUCGGAGAUAUAAAAAGAUUCACAAAUCACAAACAGUGACUACCAAACAGACAGAUAACUUGAAUGUUAAUUUGGGAAAUUAUAGGAGUAUAAGACCAACAGCUACAUAUCACCUGAACAACAUUUAAACUGGGUCGGACUCAUGCUGCUAAUACAAAUAAAUAUUUGAGCAAGAUAUGCCACCGUAGGCUCCGUAUACCUUUUAUAAUUUCUGGAUAAAAUUUUAAACAUUACCAUUUCCUACAACAUUUCUAACAUUACUUUAACUUCCUCCCAACUAAGAACGAGGGUUUGAGGUUAUGAAUUAAGAGUUAAUAGUUGUAAACGUGGGCAACAUCCAAAAAAAAAAAUACGUCUUUCCCACUUCAAAAGAAUACGUUACAAAGGCACACAAAAUCCAUCACACACCUCAAAAAAAAUUCUACAAAAAACAAAAUGCAACAGGAACCAGAAUACUACAAACCUCAACACUUUAUAACGACCAUUUAAAAUAAAUUAUCAACAUAUCCCGCGCGAAGCGCGGAUUUCUCCUAGUAGAACAUAUAGAAUUUGUUAAUAGGGUAUGUUUCUUACAUUUCCGGGAUCACGUCCAAAACUCAUUUAUUAGAAAAGACCUUUGCUAUAUGAUAACGGCCAAUCAUUCUUAACUAAAUUUACAAUAAAGAGUAACUAUUAGUCAUUGUUUUCUCUGACAAGUAUAAUUUUCUAUAACAAAAUUACCAACAGCUCAACUGGCUAGUAAGACGACGACACACAUCUAUGUGCAUCUUCAAUAGAACUCCAGACGCCCUAUCACCGUCUUGUUCUCUUUAUACUCCAACCAAAACCCUAAACAAGGAAUUGGGCUUACUACAAAUCACCAGGGCCAGCAUGACUUUUCUCAUUAACUUGAAAUCCAUGUUGCCGUUUUCCUCUAAUACAUGCCUCACAUCAGCACUCCUUACGAAUGUGCAAGAUUUGUUGUGUCGGAGCUUGGGUUCCAUGUUCCUUCCUAGCUUACACCAUAACAUGAUAAGACAUGUUCUUUCAUUAUUAUAGCUCCACACGUGCAUGAUGUAUCAGCCUUGCCGUAAUGUCUUUGUUUGCACUUGUAUAUCAUCUUCAUUAAUACCUCUCUCAGACAACACAUCACGUACUACAUACAAUCUAUGUACUUGUGGUGUUCUUGUAUCUAUGCUUCAUAAUGUCCAUGAUCUCUGCUUCAACGGAACCCUUAAGAUGUAGUUCAUCUUGUUCCAGCAGGUUGUCUAAAACCAGAUCAGCAAUGCUUCUUCAUUCUCCCCCUUGAUGACUGGGUUUUAGAAUCCAAGUACACACUUAAGAUCUAACACUUUCAUUCUCCCCCUUUAUGUAUGAAUAUGUGAAUUCAAGCUCAUCUUUGAAAGCAAUUACAAACUCAAACGCUCCCCCUGCUUGAGCACACUUUCAUUCUCUCCCUAUAUAUUCAUAUAAAACCAAGAGAUUCCUUGUAGAAACACUUCUGCCUCAUUUCAACAUGGCCUGGUUCCAUUAGCUUAGCCUCAUUUCAAAAAUCUCUGCCACAUCUGACUUUCUUCGACGCCAUCUCAUCAAAAUCCAUACCAAGUAGAAGAGCUUGUUCAACUCCAUAACUUGUUCUUGCAACAGUGAUUCUUCUUUCUGAAUUUCAGUAACCCUGCAACUCAGAUUAACAUCAAGCAGUCUUUGAGUCUCAAGGUAACCUGCAUGUAAACCGAACGUCUUGAAAUCUUUCUUCCUCAUAUCUUCAGAUCAUUCAUCCUUAAAUUGCUGUAACAACAUGAUUUCUUCUCUUCUAAGUUAGUUCUUCCAUCUGACAACACACUUAAGCAACCUGGACCAUGACUGCAGCAUCUUGUAGCACAAAGCUUCAGUAUCUCCCUUCAUUCAUGCUCACAUCAUGAUCUGCUGUCUUUGUCUUGUCUUUCUUCACACGUUUCAGAAUAGUGUAGCAAACCGUUGACUUGACUUCUGUAUUAGCAAAAUCCUUGCAUCUGUGUAAUACCAUCCAUUGCAGUAGAUCCGUGAUUAUUCUUCCAUUUUGAAUGACAACAAACUUUCCACCAGAAAAAUCCUUCUUCCAUGGCCAUUAAUUUCUUUCGUCAACUCCGUCCAGUCUUCAUAUUAUUAAGGAACUUGUGUUCGAAGAUUAUCAUUGAGUUUUUCACAACGCUGCCAUAGCCAAGUUCUGCAAUACCAGCGAUCAACCUGCUCUCCUACACAAUCCUUGUAAGAUAUACAGUCAACUUCUGUUCAAUAAGCUGUCGCAUCAAGAUUCAUCCUCGUACGUUAGUGUUCACCAACAUGACCAUUUUAACUUCAACCUCCAUAUGAGUUCUCCUUCAGUUAGAAAAUUUCUUGCACUGUGAAGAUCAGACGGAGCUAAUCUGGCCAUCAGAACUUAUCAUUAUCUUCUGGUCACGUCAUCUUCUGCGUGGACAUGUCUCUGAAAUAUAUGAAUACUUCUCGGAUGUAGCCAGAUUCAUGAUGAGGCAAUCUUUUUCUUCUUCAAUCUUCAUCAUCACUGCCUGGUAUUUAUAAAACUGCUUGGUCUCUCAUUGGUGAGGAAGUAAUCGCCGCUAUCACUGGAUUCUUCACAUCAAGGUUCAUGCCUUGAGCCACCAACUCAACAAUUCUCACUCUCAUCCCCGAGUCUUAUUGGAGCCACUGUUAUCAAAGAUUUUUGACCAAUCUCUUGUUGCAAUACUCUGUACAAGCUGGUGUUGGUAGCUAAGUUGAAACCCAUCCUGCCAAAUCAAACAGCUUUCAUUUGAGGAAGAUUGUUAUUGGAAACUACCUUGUUAGCCUCUGAAAUUGUGAGUGGUUACCACAAGGACAAAGGUGCAAAAAAAUUGAUAUUAGCCAAAGCUUUCGACUCAAUUUCGAGGUGGGAUUUCAUCAUAGACUGCCCUAAUCGCUCUAAACCUGCCUACAAUUUAUAUUGACUGGAUUAAGCAAUGUGUAUCUCUCUACUACAGCUUUCUCUAAUGGCAGGAUUCACAGAUACACUUCAAAGGCACUAGAGGGUUAAGACAGGGUGACCCCUAGCUCUUGUCACCUUGUCUACUUGGUCUAGCAAUAAAUGUUCUCUCUAAAAUGCUAAAUAAAGAUGGAGCUAAUGGUGGGGUUAUUUUAACUAUCAUCCUAAAAUGCAAGUAUUCAAAGUUAACGUACUUGUGCCUCGCUGAUGACCUUCUCUUGUGGUCAAUCUCCUGCAGAUGUCGCCUCAACUGAGUCAUUGUCUGGAACCAUAUCACCCCAGGGCCAUCUGCCUAUUAGGUUAGGUACUUGGGAGUACCACUGUGUACAAAAAAAAAAUUAUAAAUGAAUUGAAUGUGUGCAUCUUUGCUUCAAUCAGUUAAAGAAUAAAAAUAUGUUCUUGGACUAUUUUUUGUUUGUUCAUCACUCCAUUAUGGAGUGGGAAAUGGAGUAGGGUUGGAAUAAUUUUACUCUAUUUUCACUUUUACUCCAUUUUGGAGGAAAAAAUGGAGUUUUACAUUGGAGAUGCUCUAAGUUGCUAUCUUUUCGCUGGGGAGGCAGGUUAUAAUCAAUACAGUAACCUCAGGUAUUACUUAAUUUCUACAUAAAGAAUGCAGCAAUGCAUGGCAUCAACAAAAUAGACUCUAUGUGUAAUGCGUUUAGAGGGAAGGUUCAUAGCAAAAAAAGUAACUACACUUUUAAGCAUUUAUAUCGAAACCUCAAUUCAAAUCAAGCUCCAAGAGCUUUUGCUAGGACCAUGACCGUAUGUUCUGUAGAAUAUCCUGAACCUCCGCAUUGUUGGGCGUCGACUUGUUCUUCAACAACCUUGCAAUACGCCACCAUUUUUUUGCUCAGGUAUUUUCUUCUCCUCUUUAUGCAUAGAGAGAGAGAGAGAGAGAGGUUGGACGGCGCGGGAGUUGGUAUCGGUUUAGUUGUGGGUGGAGGUUUGGACUGCCACAUAAGAUUGGUUAAAAGAAAAAAAGUUAAAAAGCUCAUUCUCAAAUCUUUAGAGCAAACCAACGGUUAGUAUCUAAAAAUAAUAAUAGUACUACUUUAUUUUAUUACAAUUUUGUAAUUAAACUUUAUUUAUACGAACGUCUGUUUGGGUUAUAGCUUCCCGUGUUUGGGUUUAGUUUUCGGAUAUUUCUACGUUUUCCGCCGGCUUCAGUAUUUCACCGAUGUAUCUUUAGAGCAAACCAACGUCUGUUUGGGUUAUAGCUUCCCGUGUUUAGGUUUAGUUUCCGGGGAUUUCUACGUUUUCUGCCGGCUUCAGUAUUUCACCGAUGUAUCUUUUUAUGAUAGUAAUGAAAAUUUCAGUGGAAAAAAAAAUUAAACUUUAUUUUAUUUCUGCUCUUCGCAACAUUACACGUCAAAGAGGAGUAUGAGGAGAGUUUCUUGAUAUUAAGAACUUUUUCUCACCUUUUCUCUUUUCUUAUUACUACUGUAAUUUUCUUUAUUUAACAGACUUCUCCAAUAAGAAACUCUAACUGGAAAUGCUCUUAUUUGUUUACUUAUGUUUAAGUAACAGAAACAAGAAUUUGAGUGAUUAAUUUAUGGGAAAAUUGCUAAAACGGAACAAAAAUUUAACAUGGUUGUCCCUUUAGUAUAAUAUCAUCUUUAAGUUGUCCUUUUAGUAUAAUUGUUUUUAUAAUUCCAAAACUAACCUUGAUUAAUCAAAUUAAACAUAAUUUAAAAGUUUAAUUGAAUUUUAAAAGUUUAAUAAAAAGGAAAAAAAAAGGCAUUUCACAAAGGCAAAAGAAAUUAAAACAAAUUAAAACAAAAAGGGAACAAAAAAAAACGUAACCCUAAUUGUUUGGUUUCUCUCGACGAACAGGCGAUUCAAGGGCUUCUAUGGAAUGAACACGAAAGUGAUUCUCUCCCUUCGUCUUCUCCGACAUCGCUAGCACCUUAGGUAAAGUUUUUGUCCCUUUUUUUGGUUCUCUGAUAAUUGUGUAGAACAAAGUUAACAGUUUGAUGCAGAGAAUGCUAGACACUGAACUUCGAGUAGGACGAGGAAUAGUGAGUAAUGACGAAGCAAUAUCAUUAGUAUUUAUUCAUGCGCUAUAGAUCAUAGGUUGUGGUGGUUUACACCGUAGAAGAUUGUGCUUGUAUUCUUUCAGAUUUGUAACACAGCCUCUGAGGUUUUCAGUCUUUCAUAGUGAACUUUGUCUUUCAGUCAAAGGAAAGAUGGAGAAAGUUCAUUUUUGAUGUUUGGCUUUGCAUGAAAAUGGAUGUUGAGUCUCUUAGUUUUUUUCUGUUUCUGUCUCCUCUCCCUCUUUUUUUUGUAGAUUGAAUGUGAGCCAAAAUAUUUGAUGUCUGUUUGGAUCAAAUCCUGACAUCGAUGAGAAGCCACCAAUGUCUCUGCGUAAGUGUCUUGAGAAACUGAAGCCUUUCAUAGUGGCUUACGAGGGAGGGGAUCGAGGAUCAAGAAGAAUGGGAGCUAACAUUGUUCAGUUUCCUUUUUAUGCAUCCACACAAUACUUUUGUUUCGUUUGAUCACUUUAUCUUUCUCAUUUUUUGUGUGCAGGAAGUAAUUGGUGAGGUGAUGGUGGAAGCUCCACUUCUCAAAGAGAUUGUUGAUCACGACAGUGUUCCUGAUCGAGUAACUGCUAAGAAACAGAACGAGGAGCUCGAUAGAAUUGCUACAACAGUUCCCAAAGUUCACCUGAUGCUGUAAAACGAUUUGCAGAUCGUGCUGCUCUUAGUCUUAAAAGGAGUAUGAAAAUAACAGUGGAAGAAGUCAGGAAGCAGAAAAAUUCCCUUGAAAUAGAUUGUUUAGGAAGCAUUCUAUGGCUAUUCUAUGGAUUCUUGGAAAAUUAAGAAGCAAAGAAUGAAUGCAAUCAGUCUAGUGGUUCUUAGUACUUUGUUCUUAGUGUUUUGUUCUUACAGUGGAUAUGGCGAUUUUGUGGUUCUUACUGUGACUUAGAUGAGUUUUUGGUUCCUCGAGUUUUGUUCAUACUAUGUUGUCUACUAAAAUGAAAACACAAAAAAUCAUACAUGAAACACAUAUAAACACAAGAGUUUGUGAAAAUCACAAGAAAUCAUAUAUUGUUGAAGAAGAAAAGACAAAAUCAUUUUUUUUUUUUGAUAAAGCAAAUCGAUCAAAACACGUUUUAGGAAGUUCGAAUAUUUUUAGAAUAUUUUUUUAACAGAAACUUUCUUAAUUUUCCAAAAAACAGGUUUUUUUAUCCGUAGAAGACACAUUCUACAAUGAGUAGAACCAUGACAAAAAUCAUGAAUGCAAUUUCUACCUCAUGUAGACGUAUGUGUUGUAUUUAGAUUUCACAAUCCCGAAAUUUUAGAAUACUUCAUAAAAGUAGAAACUGCAUUCGAGAGAAAAGUAGAUGUCUUUACAAUUAGUAGAAUUCACAUUCUCCAUAUUUAGAAUUUUAAUUAAAAGUAGAUUGUUCGUUCUAAAAAACGUAGAUGGACUUGUUUAUUCUGGAAUUCGUUUUCUACUAACCCAUUUUUCGUAGAAGACGAAUUCUACUUUUAGUAGAACAUAAUUUAAAUUUUUAUUUAUCAAGUUUUUCAACAAAAAAAAAAUUUGUGUUUGUGUAUAUAAGUGUUUUAAAAAUUGUUUAUAUUUUUAGUAAUUUUUUUAUUCAUAAAACUAUUUAUUUUAUUAAGUUUCAGAAAUAAAAAGGGUAAAAAGGAGACAAAAUGGACAAAAUAAGUUUUAUACCAAAGGGACAACCUUCCUAAAUUUUUGUUCCGUUUUAGCAAUUUUCCCUUAAUUUAUCUCCGUAAUUUGCACAACUGGAACUAUGGCAAACAAAGAAAAAUAAAUCACUGGAAAGAGUCUGUAACAUAAGGUGGUUCAAAAAGGAGAUUAACACAUAACACAUAAGGUGGUCCUAGAUAUUAUUUACCAAUUGAUUUGCUUACAUGUCAUCACCACAAUUAUUUUAGCAAAAAAAAUGAUGAUAUCUCACUUAAAUAAUGACAUGAAUCCUACCUAAUUAUGACAUGACUUAACACAUUUAUUACAAAAAAUUCAAUUAAAGAAAUUCAAAUAUAAAACAUUAAGUAUAUAAGUAUUAUCAUAAUUAAAAUAUUAAGUAUAUAAUUAUUACCAUAAUUAAAAGAUUUAAAUAAAAUAAUUUAAAUUCGAGAUGGAAUUGAUAUAUAUUAAACUUUCACUUUGAACAUGUUAAUUAAAAAGCAACUAACUUUAUUUCUUAUUUUUAGUAUUUUAUAUAUAAAUAUAUUUAAUGUUUAUAAUGAACAUUUAUCUAAAUACGGUAAAAUUAUAAGAAAGUAUUUCAUUAUUAUAUUUAUAUCUCAUAAUUAAAUUGUUCUAUAUACAAUAAAUAAAACAAGUGCUUUAUAUUCUAGCAUUUAUAAUGUUUUGAAUUUUGAAAAUAAAAUUUUCUGCAAAAUUAUAUGUAGUUUAAAUUUUCAAAAGUUCAUCUAUCUUGGCAAAAAUAUAUUUCAAAGAAUAUAUUACUUUUUAGAAGGUUCAUUUCCAUAAUCUUUCAAAAAAUAAAAUAUUGCAGUUAAAAAUUAGUAUAUGAUAUCAAGAUUAUACUUUAUAGUAUCAUGGAUAAUUCAUUUUAGAUAUUUUGUCAAGAUUAAAAUAUUGUAAUAAUCCAACAUCUUUAUAUUAAAGAUAUUUUUUUUAUAAAUAUUUAUAUUUAUUCCUAAUUAGUAUUUUAAACACAAACCUAGGCAAUAGUAAUAACAACAUUUUUGAAUAUAUUUAAUCAUAUCACUUAGUAUAAAGACAAAGUUAGUCAAUCUUCGAAAUUACUAAAUCUAUUAAGAGUUAGCUUUAAAUUAAAUUUAAUUUUUUUUACACAUGGUGCACGAAACACAGUUCUCUAUAUAAAGAUUAGUGUUCUAAAAUACGCUAACCAAGUAGUUAUCAUUGGGGGUGAUUGGUUGAGCUUUAUCUCCUUACUUUAGCUUUAUUUACUUUUAAAUCACUAAAUUUUACCAAUCAUGCUUUAGCUUUAUUUUUAAUAGUUAAAACUUAAAUCAAGUUUCUGUAAACUUUUACCAAUCAUGCUUUAGCUUUAUUUUUAAAGCUACAGCAAAAAAACUAAAACUUGAGAAAUGAUUUCAAUCCAUAUUGUUUGCUUAAAAAUGCAAUAAACAACCAUAUACUAUAUGCACAGUUACCAUACAGAGAGAUAGAGCAGUAGCUACCCUAACCUUCAAAAACAAGGAAACAACAUAGCCACAAGAUCUCAAAAGAUGAUGGGUCAAACUCAGAUACUUAAAAGUUCAAAACUUUACUCCAACUCUCACAAGAUUUACACAAGAGAAAGGGAAGAAGGAU